AGAAAAUGGCGGCCACAAGAGCAGCAGUGAUGAAAUUGGCGAUCGUCCUCCUGGCCAUGAGCCAGCUCGUCCACAUGAUCGAAGGGCCGCUGGCCGAAUUUUAUUAGAAAGAAGGAGAGUACAACCAAGGGCCGCCAGCUCGUCCACAUGGCGACGCCAACGGCGGAUCCAAUGACCACUACGUCAUCGUCUCUACUGGUUACGAGCGUCUCCGGCCCUUCCGACGGUUAGUCAUCUCCUCAAGUUGAUACUAGUAGCAGUAUUUAGCUUGGUCAAUUGUUUAGCUGCUGAUGAGAGGUACUACAAGAAACUGAGAUAGUUAAUCUUCGUCUUGGCCAGGGGAAGUCCAUCCUAAACCCAGCCAUGGCAUCGGGGAAGAGAAGGUCUUGCUCGAUGCGCCCAAGCCCGGCAGCAUCCCUGUUCCUCCACCCCCUCCCCACCUCGUCCUACCGUGCAAGGGAAGAGCGUGUUGACCUCACGGCCGGGGAUGAUCAAAGUCAAGUGCAGCUGGAGCUCCAAGUGACCAAAACAAAAAGAAAUAAAAGUCCCUAGCUUCCUCUGUAUUGCAGUACUCGAUCGUUAUGAUGGACUAAUGGAAAAAAAUAAGCGCGACCUUGUUAUUUUCGUUUUGCCUGCAAUAGGUGUUCGAAUUGUGAAAGUGAGAGUACUUCACAAAUUUCCACUCCUGCCAAAAAUUACUUGUUAAAUUGAUGGACUCUAGUGGCACCUCUACAUAUGUUUGUUGAAAA
rnacentral:lncRNA from 1 species